GCCAUAUCACGCUGAAACAACGGUUCCCGUAUGAUCACCGAAGUUAAGCAACGUCAAGAUUGGGCAGUACCAAGAUGAGUGACCACUUCAGGAUACCAGGUGCUGUAAG